AGAGUUUGAUCCUGGCUCAGGACGAACGCUGGCGGCGUGCUUAACACAUGCAAGUCGAGCGAGAAAGGUCCUUCGGGGCCGAGUACAGCGGCGAACGGGUGAGUAACACGUGGGUAACCUGCCCCGGUGACCGGGAUAACGUUCCGAAAGGGACGCUAAUACCGGACAAUGUGCGGUCUGCCAAGUGGACCGUACCAAAAGGUAGCUUCGGCCUCCGCUCCGGGAUGGGCCCGCGCAGCAUUAGCUUGUUGGUGGGGUAACGGCCUACCAAGGCUGCGAUGCUUAGCUGGUCUGAGAGGACGAUCAGCCACACUGGGACUGAGAUACGGCCCAGACU
rnacentral:rRNA from 1 species